CUCUCUCUCUUAUCCACUUCAGCGGUCAUCCUCAUCCAACGCUGGGAUUUUUCCACUGCCGUGUCGUGGGCUGGCUUCUUCCCCAGCCGCUCCUUCUCAUCUCUCCCUCUACGGUCGAGCUCCCAGCCUGCACUUCGGUUCUCUACUUCUCUGCGUGUGGCUUCACCCCUGGAGCAAAAAUCCCGCCGCCCCUACGCAGAUUUUUCUAGCGUCUAUAUCUCUGUGCGCAGGUCCGAGCCACUGUUCGGCUCGAGAAGAAAAUCCUGCCGCGCUUGAUUUCUCCCUGCGCGUGCGUUCACCCAGUGAUUCCUCCCCUCUCCCAGCUCGUCUUCUUCUCUGCUGGUCGCCGGUGCUCCAGCUCGGCUCCUCACCGGCGGGAUCCUGGUACCGCGAGCUCGCUGGACGCUGCUCCUUGGACGGGCUCCACUGCGUCGCUGCCACUGGGUGUCGCGGUCGGAGCCGACCGAUCCGCACGCUGGGGAGUCGUCCUCCGCCGCUCAUGGUGCUCCUCUGUUCGCCACGGCACGCCGACUUCCCCAGUAGCGCCCUGCCGAGCUCCCUUAGCUGCUCGCUCCCUGGUGCCGCGCGUCUUCUCUGCGGGCGCUCAGCGCUCAGUUGCUUCUCCCUCCUAUGGCGCCCGUCCUCCUGCGCUCGCCGGCCGCAAGCCUUUGUCCAUGGCCGCCAGUGCUCCUUCCUCCAGCCCCGGCGCCCAUGGCUGAGCUCGCCCAGCUCGGAUCCCCCUCGUCGCGCGCUGUCUCUCUCCCUCCGUGUGCUUGCUUUCGCGCGCGCCCCUCUAUUCGCUCGCGCCCAACGUGUUUCCAUGGCCAAGCACGCCAUGGCUUCCUCCGAGCUCGCCCCAACACCGAGCUCGGCUUUGCCCCCUACUCGCCCUGCUGCUCCGCGUCUCCCUGUUCCGCUCAGCGCUCUCCCUGCUCGCUCUGGACGCGCAGCUCCCUUCGUCGCGCCCAGGCUGUAUCGCGCUCCAACUCGCCGAAGUCCCUCCCACGCCCGUCUCCCUCAAGCCGCCAUGAGCUCCAUGCUCUGAAAUUCGUGCGUCGCCUCCUUCCCAUUUGUCGUGCCUUGCGACGUUCGUCAUGGACCUCGUCGUCGACCCACGUUGUGCCCACGAUGUGCUCAUCGACUUCGAUAAUUUGAUUUCCAAUUUCGUGCUGCUUAUAUCGACCCUCGAAACUCCUUGUCGUACUCGACUUCGCAAGUCUCCAUCUCGUCGUCGUUCCGCGCGUCAGCAAGAAAUUCCAAGAAUCGGGUGAAGACAAAGCUAGCAUCGCGAUAUUCCCUAAGCGCUCGACAAAUUGCCUGGAUCGGAAAAUCGCAACCGAUCUCGCGGAUUCGUGUCAGCUGUUGAAACGGUAAGCUGAUGAAUUAUUCAGAAUAAUUCGAUCGUUGAAUAAAUUAAUGUGCUAGUGUCAUGCUCAUUAAUGUGCUCGAUAAAUUGCGUAAGUCCCGAAACUCUCGUCGACUUCGCAGUUCUUGCGAUUAUUGAGCCAAGUUCAGUUAUAGCGAGUUAUUUCGCUAUUUCGGCCAAUUAGCGGAAUUAGCGUACCGAGUAGAAUAUUAAUAGGCUUGUGUAAUGAGGAAAUAUUUUAAUUACUUCUAUAGAUGUGUAUAUAUUUACGAUAAAGAAGUGUUUGAGUAAUUGUUGACAUGAAAAACAUGUGAGGAGUAAAAUAGAAUUAAAAUAAUUCUUUGUGAGCGAUGUAGUGUAAUUUAUACAAAGAGGGAUAAGUUUAGAAUUUAAUUAAUUAAUUGAUAAGUUGUGUUUAGGCUAAUCGUGAUUAAUGUGUAUAAUUUGUUGUUUCGUGAUGUUUGCGAUAGGUCCGAGAAGCGUAAUUAUUGCGCUUAAUUGUACGUCGAUAAUUAGUGUCUCCGUAUGAUAGGAGAUCCUCAGCUGAGUAUAAUCGAUUCGGAUCGCCGUACCUUCGCGGUUAUGAAGACUUGGUCACUGCCCUACAACCUAAGUCAGGAUGUGAACCUCAUGAAUAAAAAUGAUGUUGUAUUGAUGAGAUG
rnacentral:misc_RNA from 1 species